CUACAACACCUGUUCACUAUUACCUUCAAGAGCUCCACUGCACCAAGGAAGAACACAGACACAGCAGUAAUGGAUAGGUGUAUACCACACUGUGGGGACAAAAACAAAGGUAGUUCCAUUGGCAACGUACAUGGAGGUGGAGGCAAUGCGAACAUUGGCAAUGCAUCAGGAGGUGGAGGAAGUCACAUUGGCAACGUACACGGUGGUGGAGGCAACGAGAACAUUGGCAAUGUAUCAGGAGGUGGAGGAAGUCACAUUGGCGACGUACACGGUGGUGGAGGCAACACCAACAUUGGCAAUGUAUCAGGAGGUGGAGGAAGUCACAUUGGCGACGUACACGGUGGUGGAGGCAACGAGAACAUUGGCAAUGUAUCAGGAGGUGGAGGAAGUCACAUUGGCAACAUAGAUGGGGGUGGAGGCAACGCCAACAUUGGCAACGUUGGAAAACCAUCUGGAUGCCAUUAGGGCCGCUUCACCAAAAGCCUGUCAACAUCUCUGCUCACUCUGGGGUGAAGAUUAUGAAAACUGGGUGCAUUUUAAUGUUCUUAGUUCUAUCAGAUUCACUCUAGGAGUAUGGUUUUAAUCAGCAUUGUAACCGUUCUUGUUUUUGUCAA
ensembl:lncRNA